UGUUAGGUUGGUGCAAAAGUAAUUGAGGUUUCAGCCAUUACUUUCAAUGGCAAAAACCAAAAUUACUUUUUCACCAACCUAAUACUUUC
rnacentral:miRNA from 1 species